UAGUGGUUAUAAUAUUUUAUAUGCUAAAGUUUUUGCUUCUUUUAUGGGUUGUUAUGUUAAUAUAAUACAUUGGAAUGAGGAGUUGUGUUGAGACAAUUUUGCUUCUUUUGGUUUUAAUUUCUAUUUAUCUCUUACUUCUAUUUAGCAGCAGAGAAAGAAGAAGAACAACUCGAGCAUGGCACAAACGCUAGCGAUGCCCGUAGCUCCCUCUCUCGCCCUAAUCUCAAACCCUAGACCUCUUUCCAGAGCCGUCUAUUUCCCUGUUCUCAACCCUCCCAAGGUGAGAGGGUUAAGCAUAGAGUGCGCUCGAGUUGGCGGAGUGGAGAUUCCGAACAACAAGAGAAUUGAGUUCUCGCUACAGUACAUCCAUGGAAUCGGAAGGAGCAGAGCUCGCAAGAUUCUCUACGAUAUAAGCAUGGACAACAAGAUCACUAAGGAUCUCAGCGAAGAGGAUCUCAUCACUCUUAGAGAUGAAGUCCCCAAAUAUGUCAUUGAAGGCGAUUUGCAGCAGAGAAAGAAGAAGAACAACUCGAGCAUGGCACAAACGCUAGCGAUGCCUAUAGCUCCCUCUCUCGCCCUAAUCUCAAACCCUAGACCUCUUUCCAGAGCCGUCUAUUUCCCUAUUCUCAACCCUCCCAAGGUGAGAGAGUUAAGCAUAGAGUGCGCUCGAGUUGGCGGAGUGGAGAUUCCGAACAACAAGAGAAUUGAGUUCUCGCUACAGUACAUCCAUGGAAUUGGAAGGAGCAGAGCUCGUAAGAUUAUCUGCGAUAUAAGCAUGGACAACAAGGUCACUAAGGAUCUCAGCGAAGAGGAUCUCAUCACUCUUAGAGAUGAAGUCUCCAAAUACGUCAUUGAAGGCGAUUUGGUUAGAGUAUUUUUAUAGAAUACGGAUUGAAUCAAAAUGAAGAAGCAAGAACAGAGUUGAGAGCAGUAGAUGCAUGGAUACUAACUGACAAGCCUUACUCUCAUCAAUCCAUUCAUUUGCUACCUGUGCGAUUGGGAUUCAUGGAAAAGGAUCCUGGGAACAAAUUUUUUUUGGUCUGAUUUGUCAGAUUCAUUUAAAGAUCGGUGGUAGUUCUCAAGAGGAAAUCAGCCUAGGGUUCAUGUCACUCUGCCUCUCUCUUAUCUUGAGAAACAACAAGUUAGGUGGGAAUUUUUACGGCGGCCCUAUCCUUUCUCUGUCCCCUUCCAUCAUGUGGCGUGUUUCACUGUUCAGUCCGAAUUUCCUGUGAUGUAGAUGAAACAAAUGAACUAUGCUUAGUGUCAAUUGAUUCAAAAAAGCUCCUCUCUAAUCUCACCCCCUGGAAGGAAUGUUGGAAGAUAACACUCAGAAUCAUCAGAAUGAGGAGUUUAAUUGAUCAUAGGGAGGAGAAUGAAGAACAUGCUUUUCUUCGGCUUCUGAUAAUGGAUAAAGAAUGAUGGGCGUAAUGGAUGAUGAUUUGCUUUUGAUGGUCCGCUCUGGUGUUUGCAGUGGCGGCGGUGGCACUACUAGAUUACCACAUGCUCCAAAUAUGGAGAUUUACUCUAUGUAUGGGGUCAGGAUUCUAAUGUAAAGAGGCUAUGUUUAUAAGUCAACCUCCCAAUCGGAAUGCUACAUUCCGUUUUAGAUUGACACAUCAGCAAUUGGUGGAGAUGAGGACCUUUUUUUAAAGGAUGGAGUUUAUAGUGCUAACGGGGAUGAAACCGAUCCUCUUUUAAGCGCUGGUUUCAUUUGUGCAAGAGGUUGGUGGGAAAAAAAUCCGCUUUAAUCCUUCAGGCAUCUAAACGUUCAUAAGGGAGUAUGAAGACGCUGCUCCGGCUAAUCUUCUCGAAGGAAGGGGAACCCAGAGUGGUGCUCAUGUUGAUAUAUUAGGGAACUUUGCACUUAUUGAAGAUAUUAUACGAGUAACAGCAGGAGCCUCUGGUGAGGACUUAGGUGGACAUAGAGUUCACUUAGAUUUUCAUAUGGUCUCAAUGUUAACUCUCAGUGCAAUAAAUGUUCCGGCUGGCAGCUGUUCCUUUGUUAAAUUAUUUUUUACUUUUUGGAUUAUAAAUACUCAUUGUUACCUUAGUUUAACAUGAAUAUUACCCAUGAGGUUAUAAAGAACUGUUGUUAGGAAUUAAAUGAAAAUGUGCACUAAUAUUUGAUCA